AGAGUUAGAAAGUGAGUGAUCUUAAGUUUGUAAAAGGGAACGGUGCUCAAGUUUGAAUAAACUACUCAUUUCCCCAACUUUUGUCUUCUUCUUACAAGAUUGAUGCAACGAUAUAUGGUGGAAACAUAUUUUGUAACCUUGGCUCAAUUGGAGGGAGAAUGUUAUUUGUAAAUUUUGGUAGACAUUUCGUUGUUUUAAUUUUCAGAAAUUUCAUUCUAUAUGUACGUACUCUAAUUGAAUUGUUUUUAUUUGCAGAAACUUGUAUAUGUUUUCAAUGACAUAUAUUGUUUAAUGAAAUUCAUAUUAUUAUCUAA